CAUAUGUGAAUUUUUUCAAGAUAUUUCUGAUGAGUUUUGAGCACUGAAAUUAAUACUGAGUAGAUUAUGAGGGAGUAGAGGAGGAAGAGAUAUUACAGUCAUUUUCAUUCUUCUUUUUCUUUCAACCUCUCCCUUUGCUACUGACCAGUGGGUCCCUCUCGUGAACCCACCAGUCAGGCUGGCAGCGCCAGCUCGCGGGACACGCGCCCGCAAACCCCUGCCCCUUCACGUUUUACUCCUACUCCACUACCUCCCUCCUCAAUCCAUUUCCUCUUCCUCCUGGAUCAGGUCGAGCUCGCCGGGGAUGCCGCCGCUCGCCGCUGCAACGCCAGCCAUAGGAACGGGCGGGAUCCACCAGCCCUCCGCCCGGCUCGACAUCCACGCCCCAGGGUCCAACAUGCAGGCCCGCUGGACGCCGCCGUGAAUUGCCUCAUUUUUCCACAAACUUUUGGACCGAGGCCGCCUUCCUCUGUUCCGUCAGCCGCCGUUGCGACGCUGUCACGGUCGUCCUCCUCCCCGAGCAACUCCAGGGACCGUGACGGGCCCCGCGUCUCCUCUGGACCAAGAAUUCGAAGCCGCGGGUCUCUCCUACUUCUUCCUUGAAGCUGACUGCCGUUGCUGCCGUCCUGAAUUCGCUGUCGUUCGUCCCCAUGCCGUCCAGCCUCGCUACAAACAGUAGGGGAGUUCUAGCGACACAUUAUACAAGGAGCUAUGACAUGCUUGCGCUAGGCCGUUGAUCACAGUGCCUCGCCAAGGUGAAAGGAUUUACUACUUUCCGCAUGUUUACAUGGAACAGGAUGCUAGAGCACCUUCACUUCCCAAACAUAAUAAAGGCUGUCACUGCAAAAAAUCAGGGUGUCUCAAGAAGUACUGUGAAUGCUUUCAAGCAAAUAUUCUUUGCUCCAAGAAUUGUAAAUGUAUGGAUUGCAAGAACUUCGAAGGAAGUGAGGAACUAUAGGCUAUAACUCAAGGGGAUAAUGCAUCUGAUAAAAAUAACGUUCAGCAAGCAGCUAAUGUCACUCUGAAUGGUGCCAUUGGAUCCUCUGGAUAUAAAUAUUCACCUGUACGUAGAGAAAGACACCCAGAAGACCCCCUUGGUCCUGAGGCUAACCACUUGGAUGCUUCACAAGCUUCUUCUUCUAGUGGACUUGAAGGCUGUAUUGGUUGUCAGAGUAGAUCUAAAAUGGUCUAUAGGUAAGUAAAAAAAUGGUCUGGUUAAUUUGAAUACUGGAUAGCCACCUCGCAGAAAUAAAUAAAUGAAUAAACCUUAGAACAAAACUGAUCUAUUCUAAUAUAUGAGGAGCAUGAUACAAGCGCAUGUGUACAUUAAGAAA